ACCUUCAACACAAGUUCACUUUAGAGACAGGACGAGUUAGAUUGCGCUUGGUGGGAACAAGUGCAAAUUUAAAAACAGAGUCAAUCAUAACGGGGGUGGGGGCUGGGAAAGGGCAAUUUAACCGUUUCUGGAGCCAGGAGUUAAGGUUUGCAUUGUGUACAUCCAGGCGCUGGGGCUCCUGCUGAAGUCCAGCCGCCCAUCAGUGCUGAGAAAGCGGCUCCUGGAGCUCCGGAGAGGCUUUGGGAACACCUAACCAGCGUGGGGGAAGCUUAGGAAGCAAAAAGGAAUUUACAGAGUAUUAGCAGAAAUUAUCCAAUACCGACACAAGCUCAAUUAGGUUUUUUUUUUCCUUUUUUUUUUUUUUUUUCUUUUGGUCUCUGUUGGCUGCUCUUGAACGUGAGUAAAUGCUGUGCAGGGAGAGAGGAGGGAGAGAGCCACACUGCCAUCUCCGAGCCACAGCCAGGAGAUGGACUGACAGAUUGCAAAUUAAACUAGUCCUAAUGUAAGAAUGAAUGCAGCCCCCCCCAAAUCUCUCCCAGCACCAGCCCGGCAGCAAAGAGCCCGGCACGGAGGGAGCGUGGCUGCGGCUGGGCUGGUCCAGGGAGGGACAAUAAAGCCAAUCCCGGGCAGGAAAAAUCACAAGGUGGAGUUGAAUGCAGUGGUUAACUACCAGCAAUAUGUUCUGAAGAUGAUGGUGUUCAGACAAAUACCCAAUUUGAUUCUGAUAAAUUGGAUGCAAGACUUUGACCAGCAUGAGAAGAACAGGCAUUGUGGAAACAGGUAGCAUCCCAGACCUGUGGAGGAGCUCAGCAGGAGGAGAACAAGUGGGGGGAAAUAUUCCCAUUGUGUUCUGCUGGUGGCUCAGGCAGUUUGAACAGAAGUCUGGGGUGGUCCAGCUCGUUGGAAACUUUUGUGCUCAAACCAGGAGGAUGCUGCAGCUGGAGCUAAUCCAUGAAUUUCAAAUCUGUGCCUCCGCCGGUUUUGACACCGCGCAGUGAAGCAUCCGAGCUCUCAGAUGUCUGGCUCUUCCGAGUUGUGAAAUGAGAAAACAAACAAACCCAACCAUUCCAGCCCUGUCAAUCUACUUCUCACUGGACAGAUGCCCUGGUGCCAGAAAAUCUUCAUCCCAUGAUCCCACACCUCUUGGCAGUGCCAAAAAAAAAAAUUAAAAAAAUCCAAAAAUCUACUGGACGCAAAAGCAUGACGGUUCCUCGCCUCCAAAAAAUGGUGUUUAUGGUCACACUGGGGCUUCCUGUGUGGGGAAAUGUGUGCAGCCUCUUGUUCUUGCGUUCCUGGUGUCCCAGAUAUUCCAGCAAGGUGCCUCUGGACAGUGAUGGAUUGACGGGCUAAGAAUUUGCCAAGGGCAUCAACAGCAGUUUUCCCAGGCUCCAGCACAAGGAUUAUGUAGUCAAUCCACAAAUGACUCAAAUCUUUGAAGAAAAGGACAUGGUUAUCAGAGAGGCUUUGACGACAGCAAGGACGGGAGUGCUAUCUGCCUUUUUCCAUCAGAGAUUCCCAUUCCCUUCAUUAACAUACUCAGGACAUCAGCACAGCCAUCAGGCCCGAGGGAAUCCCUUCCAACUUUUGAGGGAACGUGCACAAGACCUCGCCCCUGCGUUGUUUCAGACAGAUCAAACCAGAUUUGCCUCGUGUGAGGGUUCUUCAGCCCCACUGAGGAUGUGAUGUGAACGCUGUAAGUGGGAAAAGGAGAUGCCUCUACCUGCUCUGCCAGUGCCCUGUAAUGAAAAAUGCUUUUGGAGCAACACUGGAAACAAGCCAUCAAAAUAUCUGAUUAAACCUCUUAGGAAACUCUCACUAAUCACCUUCUCUGCUCUUGAUGGAAUGUAUUUAUGCAUUAUAAAUAUACUUACUAUGUGUGUGUGCUCCAUAAAUCACACCCAGCACUUGUAUAUGAUGUAUAAGCACAUUCUAUAGAACACACACAAAUACAGAUGCCAAGCUCCCACAGAGUUCAUCACUGGAAAAUGUUUGAAGGAUCUGAUCCUUAAUAUUUAAUGAGCAAGAUGCUAUUUCCUUCCUCAGCUUUUAUCUCUGGUUUGGCAUAGUCAUUAAAUUUGUUGUUUCCUUGCAAGAUUAUAUAAUUUAUGACCUAAUUUUAGAUUUUUGUGUAACCGCCUUGAAACACUGGUGGUGUAUUCCAAUUUCUUCCAGCAUUAGACACCAGCUCCAGCACGACUCCUGAGAGCUGCCCAUCAGCAAGGAGUCACAGGCAUGAAAGGAGAACAGCCCAACAAUACUCAGGCAGCGUUAGAAGAUUAGUUUUUGGGGGGUUUUUCCCUGCAAAAAAAAUGAUUUAGCACCAUUUCCAAAGCUGUCUGUGGUGUUGGCAGGAAUCCCCAGGUAAGACAGGCAGCACCCAGCAACUCCUGUUACUGAAAAUAUUUUCAUGCAGCUGCUUCUGACUUUCAGACUGCUCUGGGACAGCAGCCUGCAGUGCAGGGAGGGGUGUCUGGAGGUGGGAAGGAUGACACUCAGUGCUUUAAAGCCACUGCCAGCUCCUCACCCUCUGGAAUUUCCUCCCAGGACCAACCUGGCUGCUGAGCUGAUUUUCUGCUGCACAAGAUGCUGCUGGAUAACUCCAAAAUGAAUUAUUCUAAAGCUGCCACCACUUUUUUUUUUUUUGGUGUGUGCUUUCUGUGUGUCCAGAGUAAUUCAGAGAUGCUGUAAAUAGUGCCAUGAACUUCAGGUAUUCUGUCAAUUUAAACCAUAUUGUUGGGAACAGUCUUUCAUCAAAUCUAAUAUAUUGGCUGUUGCAUUAAUGCACUUUGAGAGCAUUUUAUCCUGGUGUUCCACAGGGAAGUGGCUUGUGGUUGAGGAAGGAUUUGAUGCUUCCUUUGUGCCUGCAGGGCUGUUUGGAGGAGUUUUCCUCUUUUUCCACCUUUUCCUGAAUAUCCAGCAGGGAUGGGGUGCUGCAUCCUCAGGUCAGCAGCAGGAACACAAGGGACACCCCUUUAACACAACAACUGCAUGUACAGGGUGAGGGGGGUGCCUACAUGAAAGAAAAAGCAUCCUCAUAAAAAGAGGACAUUAAUUCUUGGAUUCGAUAAAAUUGGAGAGUUUGUCUCCUUGGCUUUAAUGGAGCAGUUCCAGGAAAGCAGCAGAGAACAAAGUGUUUUCAGUAUCACAUAAUUCAAGAGUAAAAUCAUAAUUCCAAUUACCAUUGCAGGCACUUCUGGCCUUGGGAAACCUAUGCUAAUAUUUAUUAUUAUAUGAUUGACCUCUGAUUUCUUCAUCAUUUACAUUAGCAACCCUGAUAUUCUUAGUAACAUUCUUUAAAUCAUAGAAGCAGGUGUCAACAGUGCAUGAUGAAGUCACAUCCUGCAGAUUUUUUAUUUACUUAGUCCAUUUUUUCCUGGUUAAAUAACAUUGUGAGAUGCAGAAUCUCACCUCCACAGGGUCUCUAGGGGUGUAUGUAAUCAUGGAAUGCAUUUUCUAUAAUCUCACAAAAUGAGUCAAUCCUAUCAGAGGUACAAACAGUUUUACAAAGUCAGUAUUUCACUCCCAUCACUGCCUGACAUCAUCUUCCACACAGCACAAGAAAAUAUUUACUUGGCUCUUUGACAUGAAUUGCUGCAAAGCCUUUGGAACAAAAACCAGAAAGUGAGAAUUAAAAUGGAAUAACUUGGUUUAAUGAAUUUAUCCUCGUUUCUGUGUGCUGGAUUUAGAUGUCAGAUGAUUUCUUAUAAUGUUUGGGAUGGACAUGGACACCUCCAAUCCCUGUUCUUCAGUGAGGUGCCUACACACGGAUCACAGAGUUACCCAGAAUAUCCAAAGCUGGAAGCUGAUCCUCUUCUCCAUCAUCUAAAUAUUUUCUUUGCACAAGUGAGCAUUUCUCUGGAAGAAUUGAGACACUGCAUUAAUUUUCCAGGUGCAGUGUCCUGAUGCCCUGCUGGAUGUGUUUGGUCCAGCACCAGCCAGGAUGCAAAGCUGAGCAUCCACAGCCAUGACUUUCCUGCUCUUCACAGUAGAUGUUGCUGUCUUCCAAAAAUCCAGAUUAAUGUGAUUUUGAGGAAUGGGACUUUAUCCUACCCCCAAAACCUUGGCAAAUUCUGAGCACCCUGAUGAAGUAAUAAUCAUCUAGAAAAGGAAACAAUUCUCCCCUUUUUGAGGGGAUAAAGUGCAAUGGGAAUAGGAGUGCUCGGUGGAGAAUUCCUGGUGGCAGAAGGAUGGGCAGCAUGGAGAUCUCUGAGAUGGUUUGGAUGUCACUUCCAUCAAGCAGAAGGAAUGUUAAGCUGAAACUGCUCAUCAAAACUGAGACCUCAUGGAUUAUUUUGUUGGAAAGUCAAGAAAACAACCACUGAUUGUUUUCCCCAGGGCAGAGAUUUUGUGUUAGAGGAGAAAAUGAGAAAACAACCUGGCCCCAAAAGAGGGGAAAAAGGGAAAACCUGAGAUUAGAGCAGAGAAAAGCUAUCAAAAUUUGUAAAAGAAAUUUGAUGAAGCUCUGAUUAUAUCCAAAAUCCAUGCUUGUUUUGAAAUCCAAGGAACUACUGUCACAUUAUUUGUUCAGAGGGGCUCUGUAGUCAGAAAAUCCUCACCACUUGUAUCCCACUUUCAAAAGCAAAAUGUGUUCCAUUCUGAAAUCCUAAAAAACACCUGGAUUUAUGAUGCUUGGGAGUAUUGGAAUUACAUGUAAGGGUUUUCCCAGGAAUGUUGUUCUGGAAUGUUUGAGUGACACAAUCCUGGCACAGGUGCUGGGGUGGGUGUGGGCACAGGAGCACUUGAGGUGGGCUGGUGAUGUCCCUGCUCUUCCUGGGUGUCCCUUGGGACAUUGGAGCAUCAGGGUCUGGGUAAAUCCAGCCAGGAAUCUGCCACUGACUUCAGCAGAGCUGAAUUCCAUCCCAGUGUGACACAGGCUGGUGACAUGGAGUGAUGUCAGGUCACUGAUGGAGAACUGGAAAGAUUUGGUGUCACACAACUGAUCCCAUCGGGUUCCCAAAGUUCACUUGGGAUUUUUGACCAAAUUUUCAUUCCCAUUGCAAAUAUAUGGAUAGCAUGUUUAGGCAUUAUCCUUAAAAAAGUAAAUAAAUAAUUUCUUUAAGAGAUGGAUGGUCUGUGUAAUUUUGCAUUCUAAAUGUGAUUUAUAUUUAAAAAUAAAUUUGCAUAAAAUCUCCA